rnacentral:rRNA from 2 species
CCUACGGGAGGCAGCAGUGGGGAAUAUUGCACAAUGGGCGCAAGCCUGAUGCAGCCAUGCCGCGUGUGUGAAGAAGGCCUUCGGGUUGUAAAGCACUUUCAGCGGGGAGGAAGGCGUUAAGGUUAAUAACCUUGGCGAUUGACGUUACCCGCAGAAGAAGCACCGGCUAACUCCGUGCCAGCAGCCGCGGUAAU